ensembl:ribozyme RNaseP_nuc Nuclear RNase P
GGCGGGGGAAGCUCAUCAGCGGGACCACGCGCUGAGUGCUCGUCACUCCAUCGGUCCCUGGGAAGGUCUGAGACUGGGGCCUCCCGCGGCCCUAACCGGGCUCUCCCCGAGUGGGGAGGUGAGUUCCCAGAGAAAAGAGUUAGCUGAGCAACAGGAAAAAUGUGGAUGGAAUUAGAGAAACUUGAGAAUCAAAAAACGGAAAGAAAAAAUGUCAAACACAAGAAAAAAGAGAACAAAUAGGGUUAUUCCCAGUGAC